CAACAUCUGUAGGCUGGCUGGCCCCCAGCAGGCUCUAGGCAAGCAUCUCUUUGAGCGGCUCACUCUCAAGCAUGAUUAGGAGG
rnacentral:pre_miRNA from 1 species